UCCUACACGUGAUACAUACAGCCCGGCCUUCCCCUGUCCUACACGUGAUACAUACAGCCCGGCCUCCUCCUGUCCUACAAGUGACACAUACAGCCCGGCCUUCUCCUGUCCUUCACGUGAUACAUACAGCUGGGCCUUCUCCUGUCCUACAAGUGACACAUACAGCCCGGCCUUCUCCUGUCCUUCACGUGAUACAUACAGCUGGGCCUUCUCCUGUCCUUCAUGUGAUACAUACAGCCCGGCCUUCUCCUGUCCUACACAUGAUACAUACAGCCCGGCCUUCUCCUGUCCUACAAGUGACACAUACAGCCCGGCCUUCUCCUGUCCUACAAGUGACACAUACAGCCCGGCCUUCUCCUGUCCUUCACGUGAUACAUACAGCUCGGCCUUCUCCUGUCCUACAGUGAUACAUACAGCCCGGCCUUCUCCUGUCCUACACGUGAUACAUACAGCCCGGCCUUCUCCUGUCCUACACGUGAUACAUACAGCCCGGCCUUCUCCUGUCCUACACGUGAUACAUACAGCCCGGCCUUCUCCUGUCCUACACGUGAUACAUACAGCCCGGCCUUCUCCUGUUCUCUGUCACCAAGGCCUGCGAAUCAUGAAUGUUUGGCUGGAAUUUUCAGGGAGUUUCAUUUUGUACUUCUAGAGGUUUGUUGAUUUCUAGAUGUUUUAAUGAUGCAUUCUGUAAUGUUUCUCAUAAAAAUAACAAUUGGUAAAGUUAUACCUCUCCCCCCCUCCCCCCAUCAGGUAUUACAUUUUGGAAGAAGGAGACGCUGGAAAAGGAUGUCCAGACAACAUCCCAGGAGAACACCUGCUUUGACAUAUUAGCAUCGGACACCAUGGCUGAUAAAUCGUCCGCAUUAAAUAUUAAGACUUCCUUGAAAGCCAGUGUCCUCUCUAGUCUGAUACAUGUUGGUGGAUCUGCUAAUUUCCUGCACGAUAUGAAAACGUCCAAAACACAGGCCCGGAUUACUCUGAAAUAUUGUAGAAGCACAAGGUAUUCCCAGCUCAGCAUGAACCAUCUGAGUCCUGGGAACCUAUCUUAUCACGAUGGGUUUGAUAAAGGAAUCGCAACUCAUGUGGUUACCGGGAUUUUAUAUGGAGCCCAAGCUUUUUUUAUAUUUGAUCAAGAUGUCAAGCCAGAACAAAAUGCUAUGGAUGUACAAGGAAAUCUCGAAGCAAUGAUCAGGAAAAUACCCCAAAUUGCAGGAAAUGCCCAAAUAAACAGCACAGUGAAGGAAACAGUUUGUAAAUUUAGAUGUAAAUUUCAUGGGGAUUUUGCUCUUGACAGAAAUCCCGUGAAUUAUGAGGAUGCCAUUAAUAUUUACGCCAGCC